GUUUAGAUUUAAAAAAAAUAGAUUUAAGUAGGGAAAAAUGCUUAUCGGAACGGAUCGGGUAACCGUUAAUUUUAAAAUGAUACCCAAUUACCAUACACGAUAACAAAUUAUCGGAACGGGUACCCGAACCGUUACGGUUAUCGGAUCGGGUACCCUAAUUUUCAGAACGGUUACGGAUCGUUUUUCGGGUUUUCGGUUUUUCGGGUAGUUUUGCUCAGCCCUAGCUCAUACCCAUAUCUUUAGGUUUAAAAUUAAAGAAAAACUAUCAUUUCUAGAUAAAAACUAAACAUAUGAAAUCAAAUAUCAAGUUCCAACCCCAUACCACCCAUGUUUCAUUCCUCAUUCUAAACCCAUACUAUUGUUUGAACCAAACGCCCCUUAGUAGUAUUUUACUUAAGUGAACCCAGGGUAAUGAAACACCCUCAUUUUCUUUCAUAACACCCCGAUUUUCAGUGGUAACCUAUAAAAAAAGUCGACCCAAAUAAGCUCCAACCCUUUUUCCAAACAAAAAUAGAAAUGGAGCACAACUUCAAUGGCGGAGAAGAAGAAUCACCAAAAGAGCUUCCUCAGCUUCAAUGGAGGAAAGAGACUGUACCAAGGGUUUUCACCAUUGUCAGCUCCAAGCUUCCUCAGCGCGACCUUGUCUCUCUCUUACUCGUUAGCCCUUGGCUUUAUCGCACUCUCGCCUCUAAUCCUUCUCUCUGGAAGGUUCUUGAUUUUCAUGAGAUGAACAAUGCUGGGAAUCGGCUCGUAGCUGCUCUUUCUCUGCCUAGGUAUAAGGAUGUGAAGCAAAUAAACCUUGAAUUUGCACAAGAUCUUGAAGACAAGUAUCUGGAACUCCUCAAAAAUAAGUGCUCCAGCUCUCUUCAGAAUUUAGAGAUACUGAACUUAAAUGGAUGCCAGAAGAUAUCUGAUCAAGGAGUUGAAGCCAUUACUAGCGCAUGUCCAAGCAUGAGAGUCUUUUCAAUAUAUUGGAAUGUUAGGGUAACGGAUGUUGGCACACAGUAUCUAGUUCGGAAUUGCAAACACGUAAUCGAUUUGAAUUUCAGUGGUUGUAAGAAUAUCUCUGACAAAAGUAUGCAACUUGUUGCUGACGCUUAUCAAAAACUCGAGUCAUUGAACAUUACAAGGUGCAUCAAGCUGAGUGAUAGUGGCUUGCAGUACAUACUGCGCAGUUGUUCCUCUCUUAAGAGCCUCAAUUUGUAUGCCUUGUCUAGCUUUACUGAUGAAGUUUACAUGAGUAUGUCACUUCUUACUCAACUCAGGUUCUUAGAUCUUUGUGGAGCUCAGAAUCUGUCUGAUCAAGGAUUAAUGUGCAUUGCCAAAUGCAAUUAUUUGGUCUACCUUAAUCUAUCUUGGUGUGUGCGUGCCACUGAUGCUGGCGUCAUUGCCCUAGCGGAAGGAUGCUCCUACCUUGAGCUACUUAGUAAAACUACAGCUUGUUUGGAAUUCUUGGGGUGACUGAUCAGAGCCUCGAAGCACUGUCAAGGUCAUGUUCGAGUACGCUCAAAACUCUUGAUGUGAACGGGUGCAUUAACAUUAAGAGAAGAACCCGUGAAGAACUGCUUCAGCUGUUCCCACUUUUAGAGUGUUUUAAAGUGCACAGCUAAUGCAAUGCUUGUUGGAGCAUCCUGAUAUCUAUCUGUGUCUGGACAGUUUCUGCUUACAGCUUAUGAAAACGUGCUAACGAAUACAUUAGAGCACACUCCAACUGUUGGAUGAAUCACCCGGCGUGUUUAUUGUUAUGAAGCAGCUUUUUCCUAGGAUACAAAUGUGGGAAAAGAAAUUUUACAUUCCAAUAGUGGUAGAACUCUCGAGUCAUUGCUAAGAUAUGUUCAGUGAGUGAUUUUAUAUCUUCAUAAUAUGCAGUUUUACUAGGAAGUUGAAGUGCACAUAUUAUGGGGUGCUAAAAUCCUUUCCAAGUUUCCAGAUAUACACAAAUUGCAAAAUCAAGACAAAUGCAGGAUCAGUUGGAGUCUCCAAUGAAGAUGGAAGAGAAGCCUUCAGGUUCAACUUUUGUUUUUUCUCCCAUAACAUUGUUUCGAAUUAGAUGCAAUUUCUUUUUUUUUUUGUUUUUUUUUUUUGGAGAAACUUCGUGUUCGAUGUAUUGUGUGUUGAUAGACGACUACUUCUUAAGGGAUACGGUAGGGCCGUUAUUGUUAUUGUUGCAGGAAAAACAAUAGGCAAAUUCUUGAAUGAAAAUGUAUGUUGAAUGAGUGAGAUGUUUGAAUCGAGGUAGCCCCAUUUUCUCUUCUUGAGAAACAAAAAAUGUAAAUAAAAGCAACUUUAUUAAUAUUUUAUUUACUAUCUCCGUUAAGUUUUAUUUGCAA